rnacentral:rRNA from 1 species
GACGAACGCUGGCGGCGUGCUUAACACAUGCAAGUCGAGCGGUAAGGCCCUUUCGGGGGUACGACGAGCGGCGAACGGGUGAGUAACACGUGGGUGACCUGCCCUCAGCUCUGGGAUAAGCCUGGGAAACCGGGUCUAAUACUGGAUAUGACUCCAUGACGCAUGUUGUGGGGUGGAAAGCCUUGUGCGGCUGAGGAUGGGCCCGCGGCCUAUCAGCUUGUUGGUGGGGUGANGGCCUACCAAGGCGACGACGGGUAGCCGGCCUGAGAGGGCGACCGGCCACACUGGGACUGAGACACGGCCCAGACUCCUACGGGAGGCAGCAGUGGGGAAUCUUGCGACAAUGGGCGAAAGCCUGACGCAGCGACGCCG